rnacentral:rRNA from 1 species
GACGAACGCUGGCGGCGUGCUUAACACAUGCAAGUCGAACGGAAAGGCCCUGCUUUUGUGGGGUGCUCGAGUGGCGAACGGGUGAGUAACACGUGAGUAACCUGCCCUUGACUUUGGGAUAACUUCAGGAAACUGGGGCUAAUACCGGAUAGGAGCUCCUGCUGCAUGGUGGGGGUUGGAAAGUUUCGGCGGUUGGGGAUGGACUCGCGGCUUAUCAGCUUGUUGGUGGGGUAGUUGCUUACCAAGGCUUUGACGGGUAGCCGGCCUGAGAGGGUGACCGGCCACAUUAGGACUGCGAUACGGCCCAGUCUGCUACGGGAGGCAGCAGUGGGGAAUAUUACACAAUGGGCGGAAGCCUGUUACAGCGACGCCGCGUGCGGGAUGACGGCCUUCGGGUUGUAAACCGCUUUCGACUGUGACGAAGCGUGAGUGACGGUAAUGGGUAAAGAAGCACCGGCUAACUACGUG